AACGAACGCUGGCGGCAUGCCUAACACAUGCAAGUCGAACGAGACCUUCGGGUCUAGUGGCGCACGGGUGCGUAACGCGUGGGAACCUGCCCUUAGGUUCGGAAUAACUCCCCGAAAGGGGUGCUAAUACCGGAUAAUGUCUUCGGACCAAAGAUUUAUCGCCUUUGGAUGGGCCCGCGUUGGAUUAGCUAGUUGGUAGGGUAAAAGCCUACCAAGGCGACGAUCCAUAGCUGGUCUGAGAGGAUGAUCAGCCACACUGGGACUGAGACACGGCCCAGACUCCUACGGGAGGCAGCAGUGGGGAAUAUGGGACAAUGGGCGAAAGCCUGAUCCAGCAAUGCCGCGUGAGUGAUGAAGGCCUUAGGGUUGUAAAGCUCUUUUACCCGGGAUGAUAAUGACAGUACCGGAGAAUAAGCUCCGGCUAACUCCGUG
rnacentral:rRNA from 1 species